AUCCAUCUGACGAGUCCCGAAUAGGGCGAAACGUGUGUUACCCUGGAU
rnacentral:hammerhead_ribozyme from 1 species